rnacentral:rRNA from 1 species
CAUGCAAGUCGAACGAGAAUCUUUGGAAUGAUUCUUUCGGGAUGAAUUCCAAAGAGGAAAGUGGCGGACGGGCGAGUAACGCGUGAGUAACCUGCCCAUAAGAGGGGGAUAGUCCAUGGAAACGUGGACUAAUACCGCAUAUUGUAGUUAAGUUGCAUGACUUGAUUAUGAAAGAUUUAUCGCUUAUGGAUGGACUCGCGUCAGAUUAGAUAGUUGGUGAGGUAACGGCUCACCAAGUCAACGAUCUGUAGCCGAACUGAGAGGUUGAUCGGCCGCAUUGGGACUGAGACACGGCCCAGACUCCUACGGGAGGCAGCAGUGGGGAAUAUUGCGCAAUGGGGGCAACCCUGACGCAGCAACGCCGCGUGCAGGAAGAAGGUCUUCGGAUUGUAAACUGUUGUCGCAAGGGAAGAAGACAGUGACGGUACCUUGUGAGAAAGUCACGGCUAACUACGUGCCAGCAGCCGCGGUAAUACGUAGGUGACAAGCGUUGUCCGGAUUUACUGGGUGUAAAGGGCGCGUAGGCGGACUGUCAAGUCAGUCGUGAAAUACCGGGGCUUAACCCCGGGGCUGCGAUUGAAACUGAC